GUAGCAGGGUGUGUUUUGCAUACUGUGUUUUGAUUACAGGGGGAGGUAGAGCUUGCUACU
rnacentral:tRNA from 1 species